UACAGGGGGGGGCAAGCGUUGUUCGGAAUUACUGGGCGUAAAGGGCUCGUAGGUGGUCAACUAAGUCAGACGUGAAAUCCCUCAGCUUAACUGGGGAACUGCGUCUGAUACUGGAUGGCUUGAGUUUGGGAGAGGGAUGCGGAAUUCCAGGUGUAGCGGUGAAAUGCGUAGAUAUCUGGAGGAACACCGGUGGCGAAGGCGGCAUCCUGGACCAACACUGACACUGAGGAGCGAAAGCCAGGGGAGCAAACGGG
rnacentral:rRNA from 1 species